UCUUUUCCCUCUAUGCAUGAAAAGUGUGAAACCUCUGAGUCUCUUCUUGCAGAGAGAGAAAAACCAUCCUGUGCUAAAGUCUGAUCGCACUGAGCUACCCUCAAUUGCAUCAUGAAGGCCCUCCUGCUCAUCCUUGGCACUCUUCUGUUGAUUAGUUUGACUCUGGCUGAUAACAAGGAGACCAACGAAGCUGGAGAGUCUCUCAGUACCUCUUCCGUUUCUCCUACAAAGCCAAGUGGCCAAGCUGCAAGCCUUGGUGGGCCAUCUUUCUUUCUGCUGUCACUCAUGCUGGUCCUCUUUCAUCUCUUCCAAGUAUACUGAGGCUGGACCUUCACUCCUCGGAGUGUUAUCACCCAGAGAGUUGUCCAAACCAUGACUGCCUUUGGGGAAUCCCCAUCCAUUCUACUGCUAACUUGUAGUCUCGACAACCCAGCCAGCAUUACUGCUCUAGCUGCAAUCAAUACGUAGCGCUGUUUCAUGUGCCAAUGCACCACGCUCCAAGGUUACUCAGCUCAGUCUUCACCACAAAGGCCAAAAAACCUACAAAGCUAAAGAAGAAGAAGGGAAAAAACAGACAUAUCAAGGGUAGAUCUUCACUGCAUGCACACAUACCAACAUGGUAUGCAUGACAGAUGAUAUGCAAAGGAGGCCUGAGCCAGGCUCUUUACUGAAGAGAAAAAUUGGAAUUCACCUUCGUGAAGAUAUUGUGGUGUCCCAUUGUCCCUCCCUUUUUUUAACAAGAAGGUAAAAUCCUUGAGGAAGUUAUCUUCAUAUUGUCUACUGAGAGCCACUCAAGACAAAAGCAACACAAGAGGAAGAAAGUGGCAUCUGGAAAUUCUCUGUUGGUGUCUUUGACAAUCCUUGUGCAGUUUAGUUCAAUUUGAUGAAUAAAUAAAAGCUUCUUAGCCAUUAAA